rnacentral:rRNA from 1 species
UACGGGGGGAGCAAGCGUUGUUCGGAUUUACUGGGCGUAAAGGGCGCGUAGGCGGUCGUGACAAGUCACUUGUGAAAUCUCCGGGCUUAACUCGGAACGGUCAAGUGAUACUGUCGGACUAGAGUACAGAAGGGGCAACUGGAAUUCUCGGUGUAGCGGUGAAAUGCGUAGAUAUCUGGAGGAACAUCAGUGGCGAAGGCGACACCCUGGACUCAUACUGACACUGAGGUGCGAAAGCGUGGGGAGCAAACAGG